CCAUUAUGAAAAAUAUUUAAAUAGGAAAAGACUCUUCGCUUUCCCACAGAAGAACCAGUCUCUUACCAAAAACAACUUUUUUUCCCUGAUUUCGACCCUAAAUUGUUUGAUUUUCCUAGCCAUGAGCGGCUAAUUCGCCGUUCAUAGGCUCUGAUGGGAAAACCGUUACACAAGUUCAUAGAGAUUCAUAAGUUCUAGGGGGGAUAUGGAAUUCUUCAUGGAGGUGGGGUUUUUCAAAUCUACUGCUAAGAUUCCUAUAUUCUGCAACUCAACAUGAUAUCUUUGAAAGGAGAAGAAUAAUUGGUAUUUUACCAAAUCAGUGUGGGUUAUCUGUUCUGGCAUCAUCACAGUUAACUAGACAUUCUCUAUUUACUUAUUCAUCUUGCUCCGCUGUUUUUUUAGGUCCAUGCUCUUUUCUACUCCCCUUAUGCUAUCUUCCCAGUGCCCUGUGUUAAACCAAUUUUAAUCUGUCUUACAUUUAUUGUCAGGCUUCAUAUAAUAUAUCUUCUUGUUCUUUCCUUACCUGCUAGUUGUGUAUAAUUUCCUUUCUCCUGUUUGUUGUACUACUGUCCACAAAUCAACUUUGAGGAUUUUUUCUCUUC